rnacentral:rRNA from 1 species
AUUGAACGCUGGCGGCAGGCCUAACACAUGCAAGUCGGACGAGUGGCGGACGGGUGAGUAAUGUAUGGGGAUAUGCCUGAUGGAGGGGGAUAACUCCUGGAAACGGUAGCUAAUAACGCAUCCCAUCAGCUGCACCCAGAUGGGCUUAGCUUGUAGGUAAGGUAACGGCUAACCUAGGAGACGAUCCCUAGCUGGUCUGAGAGGAUGACCAGCAACACUGGGACUGAGACACGGCCCAGACUCCUACGGGAGGCAGCAGUGGGGAAUAUUGCACAAUGGGCGCAAGCCUGAUGCAGCCAUGCCGGGUGUAUGAAGAAGGCCUUCGGGUUGUAAAGUACUUUCAGUCGGGAGGCGUAACCGACAGAAGAAGCACCGGCUAACUCCGUGCCAGCAGCCGCGUAAUAC